rnacentral:lncRNA from 1 species
AUGUGGACACCUCCUAGCGGUCUGGUUGUUAGGAGUGUUUAUCAGACCAUGUGGACACCUCCUAGUGGUGGGGUUGUUAGGAGUGUUUAUCAGACCAUGUGGACACCUCCUAGUGGUCUGGUUGUUAGGAGUGUUUAUCAGACCAUGUGGACACCUCCUAGUGGUGGGGUUGUUAGGAGUGUUUAUCAGACCAUGUGGACACCUCCUAGUGGUCUGGUUGUUAGGAGUGUUUAUCAGACCAUGUGGACACCUCCUAGUGGUGGGGUUGUUAGGAGUGUUUAUCAGACCAUGUGGACACCUCCUAGUGGUGGGGUUGUUAGGAGAGUUUAUCAGACCAUGUGGACACCUUCUAGUGGUCUGGUUGUUAGGAGAGUUUAUCAGACCAUGUGGACACCUCCUAGUGGUGGGGUUGUUAGGAGUGUUUAUCAGACCAUGUGGACACCUCCUAGUGGUCUGGUUGUUAUGAGUGUUAAUCAGACCAUGUGGACACCUCCUAGUGGUGGGGUUGUUAGGAGUGUUUAUCAGACCACGUGGACAUCUCCUAGUGGUCUGGUUGUUAGGAGUGUUUAUCAGACCAUGUGGACACCUCCUAGUGGUCUGGUUGUUAGGAGUGUUUAUCAGACCAUGUGGACACCUCCUAGUGGUCUGGUUGUUAGGAGUGUUUAUCAGACCAUGUGGACACCUCCUAGUGGUGGGGUUGUUAGGAGUGUUUAUCAGACCAUGUGGACACCUCCUAGUGGUGGGUGGUUAGGAGUGUUUAUCAGACCAUGUGGACACCUCCUAGUGGUGGGGUUGUUAGGAGUGUUUAUCAGACCAUGUGGACAUCUCCUAGUGGUCGGGAUGAUAGGAGUGUUUAUCAGACCAUGUGGACACCUCCUAGUGGUGGGGUUGUUAGGAGUGUUAAUCAGACCAUGUGGACACCUCCUAGUGGUGGGGUUGUUAGGAGUAUUUAUCAGACCAUGUGGACACCUCCUAGUGGUCUGGUUGUUAGGAGUGUUUAUCAGACCAUGUGGACACCUCCUAGUGGUGGGGUUGUUAGGAGUGUUUAUCAGACCAUGUGGACACCUCCUAGUGGUCUGGUAG